rnacentral:rRNA from 1 species
UACGGGAGGCAGCAGUGGGGGAAUAUUGCACAAUGGGCGCAAGCCUGAUGCAGCCAUGCCGCGUGUAUGAAAAAGGCCUUCGGGUUGUAAAGUACUUUCAGUCGUGAGGAAGGUGUUAAGGUUAAUAACCUUAGCAAUUGACGUUAGCGACAGAAGAAGCACCGGCUAACUCCGUGCCAGCAGCCGCGGUAAUACGGAGGGUGCGAGCGUUAAUCGGAAUUACUGGGCGUAAAGGGCACGCAGGCGGUUAAUUAAGUUGGAUGUGAAAUCCCCGGGCUUAACCUGGGAAUGGCAUUCAAGACUGGUUAGCUAGAGUCUUGUAGAGGGGGUAGAAUUCCGAUGUGUAGCGGUGAAAUGCGUAGAGAUGUGGAGGAAUACCGGUGGCGAAGGCGGCCCCUGGACAAAGACUGACGCUCAUGUGCGAAAGCGUGGGGAGCAAACAGGGAUUAGAUAC